UACGUAGGGAGCGAGCGUUGUCCGGAUUCAUUGGGCGUAAAGAGCUCGUAGGCGGCUUGGUAAGUCGGAUGUGAAACCUCCAGGCUCAACCUGGAGUCGCCAUCCGAUACUGCCAUGGCUAGAGUCCGGUAGGGGCCCACGGAAUUCCUGGUGUAGCGGUGAAAUGCGCAGAUAUCAGGAGGGACACCGAUGGCGAAGGCAGUGGGCUGGGCCGGCACUGACGCUGAGGCACGAAAGCCAGGGGAGCAAACGGG
rnacentral:rRNA from 1 species